rnacentral:rRNA from 1 species
UACGUAGGGGGCUAGCGUUGUCCGGAAUCAUUGGGCGUAAAGCGCGUGUAGGCGGUUCGGUAAGUCCGCUGUGAAAGUCGGGGGCUCAACCCUCGGAAGCCGGUGGAUACUGUCGAGCUAGAGUACGGAAGAGGCGAGUGGAAUUCCUGGUGUAGCGGUGAAAUGCGUAGAUAUCUGGAGGAACACCGGUGGCGAAGGCGGCGUCCUGGACCAACACUGACACUGAUGAGCGAAAGCCAGGGGAGCAAACGGG